AACCUUGACAUGAGUUCAUGGAAUAGAGGACACAAAAGCCUGAACGGAAGGUAGAAGGAUGCCUUGGUAUUAUGCACUCAGGCCUGCUGAGUGAUGGCCAGUGGGCACCAACGAACAUUUGGAGAAGAAAGCGCUGGAUCCUUGAUGUCUCCCGCUACAUGAAUAAGCUCUUGGAGAUAAUGAGGAAGCAGAUACUAAAACCCGCACGAGGUGGAAGAAGUUAACUGCGUGAUGACCAGAUUGUAGCCAUGACAUAGCUGCCACAAUUCUGAGAACUGGC